GUACGUGAAACCGUAUAGAGCAAACGAAUGGGGCCUCGAAUUCCGAUGAUGAAACAAUUCAGUCUUAAUAGCCUAUGUGCCUUGUGCGUUUUGUGUUGGWGUAAAAACUUUCGCUGCGUAUAAUGGUUGCAAGGGUUGUUUUGGCGCAUUUUGUUUUGUCGGUAGGGCGUCGCAACCAAUAAGGUUAAACAAUAUAGAAAUGCGCUUUGAGGAUUGGAAUGUUGGUAGCAUUGAAAGCAUUUAUGUUUUUAGUGUAAUUAGCGUCUAGUCUGAAUGAGUCGCUACCUUAUUGUGGAUAUGUUUUUUACUUUUGCGCAAGAUAACUGGAAGGUACGAAUGGUGUGUUGUUGAUUCACUUUUUGUGGGCGGCGAUGCAACGUUUGGCUGGUAGCUGGUAAAUCUUUUGCUUGUAGAAAACUGUUAGCGGCGAGUAGGUCGGUAACCUAUUCGACCCGUCUUGAAACACGGACCAAGGAGUCUAACACGUACGCGAGUCAUUGAGCUACCUGUACCUCAAAGGCAUAAUGAAAUGUGAAGGGUAAUCUUAACGUUAUCUGAGACGUGAUUUUGCGUAUUUUUUUAUGCGUAAACGCAACGUCCACCCGUUCAUUGUGAACUUGUUCAUAGAGCGGAGUGAGAGCGUACGUGUUGGCACCCGAAAGAUGGUGACCUAUGCCUGGGCAAGACGAAGCCAGAGGAAACUCUGGUGGAGGUCUGAAACGUUUCUGACGUGCAAAUCGAUCGUCUGACCUGGGUAUAGGGGCGAAAGACUCAUCGAACCAUCUAGUAGCUGGUUCCCUCCGAAGUUUCCCUCAGGAUAGCUGGAGCUCGAAUUGCAGUAUCAUCCGGUAAAGCGAAUGAUUAGAGGCAUUGGGGACGAAACGUCCUCAACCUAUUCUCAAACUUUUAAUGGGUGAGAAGCUUGGCUUCUUGACGAAGUCGGGCGUGCU
rnacentral:rRNA from 1 species